AACAACCGCUUACACUUAACCAAACAAAUAAUUAUAACUAUAUACUAGUACCUUAUUAUAUAUUUUGUUAACCCAACCCAGGUGUGCAUGUAAAGGAAAGAUUAAAAGGAAUAAAAGGAACUCGGCAAAUAUGAACCCCGCCUGUUUACCAAAAACAUCACCUCUAGCAUUUACCAGUAUUAGAGGCAUUGCCUGCCCGGUGAGUUAUGACUUUAAUGGCCGCGGUAUCCUGACCGUGCAAAGGUAGCAUAAUCACGUGUCUCUUAAUUGGAGACUAGUAUGAAUGGCACCACGAGGGUUCAACUGUCUCUUAUUCCUAAUCAGUGAAAUUGACCUUCUUGUGCAGAGGCGGGAAUAAUUAUACAAGACGAGAAGACCCUGUGGAGCUUGAGUCGUAUAACUCAACAAAUACCAGUAUUUAACCUAUUAGAACAAUAUGUAUAACCCCUGAGUUAUAGUCUUUGGUUGGGGUGACCUCGGAGCAUAAAACAACCUCCGAAUGAAUGUAACCCAGAUUAACAAAUCUAAGUGUAAUAUUACCAGUAAUUGACCCAUAUUUUGAUCAACGGAACAAGUUACCCCAGGGAUAACAGUGCAAUCCUAUUUGAGAGCCCAUAUCGAGUAAAUGUUGGUUUGAUAGGAUGUAUGUGGUCAGUGAAUUUGCCUCGCUGAGAAGUAAUUAGU
rnacentral:ncRNA from 1 species